rnacentral:lncRNA from 1 species
AUUUAAAAACCGAUAAAGGUUGUAAUCAGCUGUUUGGUUAAAUGAACUUCUGCUGCAUAUUUUUAUACAUAAUUGACCAUUUUGAUACGAUUUAACAAAAGUAUAUAACUUUGUGGUGUUGGGAAACUUAUUUCCCUCAUCAAGAGAUUGUUGCAUACAUGUACGGGUGAUCUAUUCCUAGACACAUUGGUUUAAUAAAGGCAG